AGGCUUAGAUAGAGAAUGUCCUUCAGCUGGAAUGUGUCACGACAUCUGUGAUAGGACAUCAGAAGUGUGAUAAGACGUUAGGCUCAUCGUCAUGCUUAGGCUGGGAAUAAAUUUUGAAGUGAAGAAGUGACGACAUCUCUGAUAAGUUAUCAUAUGUCUGAUAAUCCAUCAAGCCUUAUCAUCAGUGCAAGUCAGAGAUUAUCAAAGAGAAGAGAAGCUAAUGACAUUCUUGAUAAGCCAUCAGACUCCUGAUAAG
rnacentral:lncRNA from 1 species